rnacentral:lncRNA from 1 species
CCAACAGUGAGCUGUGCUGUGGAUACUUCUCUGAGGAAGACAGACAAAAUCCCUGCUCCAGUGGGGACAGCAGGUGAACGUAAUGAGCAGGUGCAUUGCAUCGGGUGUAGGAAAGUGACAGAUGAUUCAGGCGGUGGGGAGCAAGGUAAUGGAGAGGAAGAGUGGGAAGGGAGUCUCCAGGUCCUCAAUAGGCUAAACAGGAAGGACUCCCAAAAAAGUAACAUGUGUGUCCUGGCUUCAUGGAGGUGAGCAUUCCUGCAGGAGGCAGAGCCCAUGAAAUGUACUGGAGUGGUCCAGGGAAAAUCCAGAAGGUGCCUUUGUAACAUUUUCAAGACAACCCCACAAAAAAAGAAUACCCAAGAAUGUAUUCAUUAAGUAGUCAGGAGCAAACAAUAAAUAUUUAUGACCUAGCAAUUUUAUUGCCAUUUAAGAAAAUAUUUCACAUAAAUUGAAAAAGUAGUAUGUUUAUUUCUUUCUUAAAUAAGCACAAAUGUUUACUAAUGGACAUGUGUACCUACUGGGCACUGAACAACUUCUCAAACUUUGGAAGCAGAUUGGACACAGCCACCCUGAUUUCGUAUUUCAUACCUAUUUUUGCAGGGAUUCUUGGUUUUUUAUCACAGCAACUGUUGAAAUCACAGAUUGUAAAACUACAGUCAUCUAAAGCAAUGGUGCAUAGUCUGAUGUUGAAACUAUAAAAUACUUUGGAUCAGUACUUCCUGCGGUGUCCAGCAGAUGGCACCAUUAAUCUUUCAAAUAUUUCAAUAAGCCCAGAGGGUUUGCUCACAGUGAGUUUGUGACAUCAUGGUGGAUGAGACAAUUGUGACAUCGUGGUGGAUGAGACAAUUGUGACAUCAUGGUGGAUGAGAGAUCAAUAAAGAGUUUAUUUCAGGGGAUUGGGGCAGUUCCUCUCACCCUGCAGAUCAAGAUGCCCUGAGGGCAAAGAGCAGAGGGGUGCUCUCUGGUGGCCCAGCAGUUCUGCCCCAGGGGAGAGGUUUCUCUUCUACUACAGCAAAAACCCACAGGACGCUGCUUCAUCCCAGAACCAAGGAUACCAGGAAGGAAGGUCAGAGUGAGGAGGUGUCUGAGUGUUUCAGAUCACACAGUGACAUACUGCUUGAUGGCUUCAGAAAUCCUUCAUGAGCUGGGAGACAGCCCCAGAGGUGACAGCCCCAACCAUCUCGAGGACAACACAUCAGCAGCAGCAGCCAUGUGGAUGUUUGUUUCUGUACCUGGAUUCUAAGUGCCUGGAGGACUGGACAUAUCUGGUUUCUAAGUUCCAGGAGGACUGGACACAUCCAUCACCCACGUGUAAACCCAGCACCUAGCACAGUGCCUGCCAUCCGAUAGGGUUUAAGACGCAUGGGAGGAAUCUAAUCAUCAGACUACCAAAGGGCUGCUAGAACUCAGAAAGGGAUCCCCAUCAUUUGGGGGAUGGGAUAAAGGUCUUCAUUUCUGUUAUUUCCAGCACCAACCUCCAUGGCUCCACUCAUUCCUGCUCCUUCCUCCUGCUAAGAUUGGCUGGUCAGGAGAGGGGUAGGGGCAGGAGCAGCUAUACCUGGUCUCCUCCACCACCCACGGUGGGGUGCACCCUUGGUGGGACCUGGUGAGCAUGACAGCACCUGGCCUAGGGGACCUGGAGCCUCCACAGCCCCACAGAGAGCAAGAGGAGCUGUUCAGCCACUUGCAGAGACAGAGAGUGCUUCAAGGACUACGUGGAGCUCUGGAGAAGCAGGGAAUUCAGGGCCCUCUUUUGUGAGGCAUGAGAAAUUUAGGCAGGAUCACGUCUACAAAAGAGGCUGUCACUUUGGCUUAUCAAUAUUUUCACCUCAUUACCCCUUCCAGAUCAGAGUGGGUGCUUUAUUUGUUUUUAUGGAUUAUUGUGUCAACCAAAACGAGAGUUCAGAGUCACUCUAAAGAUUUGAAACUCCUUCAAGAUUUGAUGAAUGUGCAUUUUGAUGCCACAUCUAUUUUUAGAAAGCUGUGGCUGAAUAAAGCAUUUUAUUGUAUAGCAUUACCCAAGUUACUUAUAUGGAAUUUUAAUCUACAUAAUGUCAUACAACCAUGUGAAAAGUAAAAACUAAAAAGCCAUAACUUUUUGGGCCAGAAGUGGUGACUCAUGCCUGUAAUCCCAGAACUUUGGAAGGCCAAUGUUGAGGCUAGGAGUUGGAGAUCAGCCAUGGCAAGUAACAUGGUGAGACCCUGUCUCUACAGAAAAUUUAAAAAAUUGACCAGGUGUAGUAGCAUGUGACUGUAGUCCCAGCUCCUCAGGAGGCUAAGGUAGGAAGAUCACUUGAGCCUGGGUGACAGUGUGAGAGCCUGUCUCAAAGAAAACAACAACAAUUGCAGCAGAAACAACAACCAAAAAAUAUAAACCCAAG